GAUGAAGAACGCAGCGAAAUGCGAUAAGUAAUGUGAAUUGCAGAAUUCAGUGAAUCAUCGAAUCUUUGAACGCACAUUGCGCCCGCCGGUAUUCCGGCGGGCAUGCCUGUUCGAGCGUCAUUUCACCACUCAAGCCCGGCUUGGUGUUGGGGCACCCGGCCGCCCAGCGGCCCGGGGCCCCCAAGUCCAUCGGCGGGCUCGUCGGGACCCUGAGCGCAGUAACACGCGGUAAAACGCGCCCUCGCUCGGUGGCUCCAGUCGGGUUCCAGCCGCUAAACCCCCUAAUCUUCUUAGGUUGACCUCGGAUCAGGUAGGAAUACCCGCUGAACUUAAGCAUAUCAAUAAGCGGAGGA
rnacentral:misc_RNA from 1 species